rnacentral:rRNA from 1 species
CCUACGGGUGGCAGCAGUGGGGAAUAUUGCACAAUGGGGGAAACCCUGAUGCAGCGACGCCGCGUGAGUGAAGAAGUCUUUCGGUACGUAAAGCUCUAUCAGCAGGGAAGAAAAUGACGGUACCUGACUAAGACGCCCCGGCUAACUCCGUGCCCGCCGCCGCGGUCCUACGUAGGGGGCACGCGUUAUCCGGAUUUACGGGGUGUAACGGGAGCGUAGACGGGAGGGCAAGUCUGAAGUGAAAUCCCAUGGCUUAACCAGGGAACUGCUUUGGAAACUGUGCAGCUGGAGUGCAGGAGAGGUAAGCGGAAUUCCUAGUGUAGCGGUGAAAUGCGUAGAUAUUAGGAGGAACACCAGUGGCGAAGGCGGCUUACUGGACUGUAACUGACGUUGAGGCUCGAAAGCGUGGGGAGCAAACAGGAUUAGAUACCCGAGUAGUC